UCUAUUCAAUGUAUUCUUGUUUUGGUUUGUUUUUUGUGCGCUAUUUUGUUUUGUUGUUGGCUACAUUCUGCAUAGUGCCAAAACAGCCAUCAUUGAGCCUAGUAUGGCUGUUCUAAACCUGUUGGUGCUCUCGCCAUGUGCAUGUUGGUGCCGGGCAUGGCUGGCUCUGCCAAAACAACGGGAGGCAUCCGUCCGCAGCUAUGAUGGGCCCACGCUACGUGCUCCAUCCUUUAAACAGAGGCGGAUGCUCUUCCUCGUGUCUCCUGCACAAGAUUGGCCCGAAGGACUGAGAAAUUGAUCGUGCAAGCACUGCGGUAGCCAAUUUUGAGUAUCGAGACUCGCAUGGGAGUAAACCUCCAGAAUCCUCACUCAUAUUUUGGCAAUAACGUAUUCGGAGAAGGAUGAGCAUAGCUGUCCAGCAAAGUAGUAGCUCUAGAAGCUCCAAGAUUUGUAUUGGUGCUGAUCUUAUCAAUGGGAUAAUCCAUCAUACAUAUAACAAAGGAUUAUCAAUAUAAAAAACGAAUUUAAAAUAGAUCGUAUCACAGCGGAACCAAAAAGCAAUGUUAACAGAUUAUGUUUUCUGUACAUUCGAUGCUCAAAAUGGAACAAGAAAAUAGUCAAGUAGAAGAAUUUGAAUUGUUACUUAUCCGUUUACAACCAGUCUUUUGUUGAGCACACGUCAUGAUAUGUAAAUAGUUUUUGGUACAUUAUAAUAAUGGAAAUAUGUAGAUAAAAACAUAUGGAUUAUGAAGAUUUAGAUCAGACUUGUGAAUCAGUCUAAAAUAUCACUCGUACCUACUCAAUGGAUUUUUCUGAAGCAUAAUCCACUAUUUCAUGCAAAUGUAAAAACACAACGAAAUU